AAGGGUUUCGGCUCGUAAAGCUCUGUUGGUAGUGAAGAAAGAUAGAGGUAGUAACUGGCCUUUAUUUGACGGUAAUUACUUAGAAAGUCACGGCUAACUACGUGCCAGCAGCCGCGGUAAUACGUAGGUGGCAAGCGUUGUCCGGAUUUAUUGGGCGUAAAGCGAGUGCAGGCGGUUCAAUAAGUCUGAUGUGAAAGCCUUCGGCUCAACCGGAGAAUUGCAUCAGAAACUGUUGAACUUGAGUGCAGAAGAGGAGAGUGGAACUCCAUGUGUAGCGGUGGAAUGCGUAGAUAUAUGGAAGAACACCAGUGGCGAAGGCGGCUCUCUGGUCUGCAACUGACGCUGAGGCUCGAAAGCAUGGGUAGCGAACAGGAUUAGAUACCCUGGUAGUCCAUGCCGUAAACGAUGAGUGCUAAGUGUUGGGAGGUUUCCGCCUCUCAGUGCUGCAGCUAACGCAUUAAGCACUCCGCCUGGGGAGUACGACCGCAAGGUUGAAACUCAAA
rnacentral:rRNA from 1 species